GCCUGGUGGAGCACUACUGGUCCCAACUACUUGGGAGGCUGAAGUAGGAGGAUUGCUUGAGUCCAGGAGUUCUGGGCUGCAGUGUGCUAUGCUGACUGGGUGUCCACACUAAGUUUGGCAUCAGUAUGGUGACUUCCUGGGAGGAGGGGAUCAUCAGGUUGCCUAAGGAGGGGUGAACUGGCCCAGGUCUGAAAUGGAGCGGGUCAAAAUUCCCUACCCUGGACUCCUGAGGAGGGACAUGAUAGUCCCUGAUCCUGGAGCCACCUGACUUAGAGGUUGGAAAGUAAUACUGCACUGU
ensembl:misc_RNA Metazoa_SRP Metazoan signal recognition particle RNA